rnacentral:tRNA from 1 species
GGGGGAAUGUACCCAGGGGAAUCAGGGAGGGGUUUGGAAAUCCCCCCCAUUGCGCGGAAGAA